rnacentral:rRNA from 1 species
UACGAAGGGGGCUAGCGUUGUUCGGAAUUACUGGGCGUAAAGGGCGCGUAGGCGGUGUGUCAAGUCAGGCGUGAAAGCCCCGGGCUCAACCUGGGAACCGCGCUUGAGACUGGCACGCUCGAGUUCGGGAGAGGAUGGUGGAAUUCCCAGUGUAGAGGUGAAAUUCGCAGAUAUCGGGAGGAACACCGGUGGCGAAGGCGGUUCUCUGGGCCGUUACCUGACGCUGAGGAGCGAAAGCGUGGGGAGCGAACAGG